GGUAUCGUCCUUCAAAAGGAGAACGUUGAACUUACAAAAGAGGUCAACAUUGCUCAUCAGCACAAAAUAGAGUUACAGAAGAAGCUUAGUGGCGAAAGCACAUCAGGUGACGGUGAUCAAGCAAGCGGAAGCUCUAAUAAAGUUCCUGGUAGAUCAACUGCAUAUGAUGCAUCUGAACAUAUUAACCUUGCUUUGAGCAUAGAAAGAGAUGCAGAUGAAUGACAACUAUGCACAGAGUCAACCACUGGAAAGGGAGAUGUCAUGAGUAAUAUAUUAAGGAGCCAUUCCAGAGGACAAAGCUUGACCUUCACCGGAGCCUGUGUGUGGGAAACUUCAAUACCUACAUUUUAUACUACUUUGGCUUACUAGGUUUAUUAAGUAAAACAAAACAGUAUGGACCACUUUAUUAUGUACUAUCAGUGGAAUUUUUUGUUUAACGUACACCUGGAUUACAAGAAAGGGGUAGAGGGUCACAUUAUCUGUAGUAUUAAAUAUCCAACUCAAGGUGGAUGGGUUCAAAAGUCAUAUAUAUCCUCCUUGAUUCACUAUAGUUGUUUCCAUAUGUUACUAUGCUUUACAUUCUUUAUGUUUCGGGAGCCUAUAUCAAAAUGCAUUUCUAUUGUGA